rnacentral:rRNA from 1 species
AAGGGCACCACAAGAACGCGUGGAGCAUGUGGCUUAAUUUGACUCAACGCGGGAAAUCUUACCGGGUCCGGACACACUGAGGAUUGACAGGUUUUAUCCAUAUAUAUUUUAUAUAUGGUGUCAAAAAUGCUAGUCCUUUCAUGAUUAUGUGAUAGGUGGUGCAUGGCCGUUCUUAGUUCGUGGAGUGAUCUGUCUGCUUAAUUGCGUUUCACUACGAAUCUACUUUAAACGUGUGUUUGUGAGAUGAACUGAUCCCUCCCAUUCUUCGGUUUGGCGAGUUGUGCGUCUUUUUAUCGUUAUCACAUCGCACAACGUUGAUUCUGAAAGCAACGAACGUGACCGCAACCUCUUGUUGCCUGUAUCACCAAAACAGUUUGCACUCAGUGCUCUCUGUAUAAACAGGCCUUAUAUUAAUAAACUAGAGGGACCGCUGUUACUUUCUUAAACCAGAGGAAGGUUGCGGCAAUAACAGGUCUGUGAUGCCCUUAGAUGUUCCGGGCUGCACACGUGCUACAAUGAUUAUUGCAGUGAGCAUCUCAUAUUUAUACAUCACUUGCAUGAGCUGUAUAGUUUUUUACUAUGCUGUCUCUAUGCGUGAUAAAGCCUGCUUCGAAAGUAAGUGGGUAAUCAAUUAGAAGUAAUGAUUUCCUUUAUAUGCACAUUUAUGUUUGGCUCUGGAUCCCAGUCUAACUCUUGUUAGUAUUUGAGUGUAUUCAGUGGACCUAUUUUUGGUCUCUACCAUUCGUGCAAUUGUCAAUUCAUGGUGGGGACAGACCAUUGUUAAUUGUUGGUCUCGGUCUUAACUAGGAAUGCCUUGUACGGGUCUUUGGUUCAACAAACCACCCGGAAUACGUCCCUGCCCUUUGUACACACCGCCCGUCGCUCUUACCGAUGGAUUUCUCUGUGAGUUUGAGGGACUGGAUAUUUAAUCUAUGGAAACUUAAACGAACAGUGUGAUCUAAAGGAAAGAGAAGUCGUAACAAGGCAUCGGUAGGUGAACCUGCAGAAGGAUCA